CCUACGGGAUGCAGCAGUGGGGAAUAUUGCACAAUGGGCGCAAGCCUGAUGCAGCCAUGCCGCGUGUAUGAAGAAGGCCUUCGGGUUGUAAAGUACUUUCAGCGAGGAGGAAGGCGAUAAGGUUAAUAACCUUGUCGAUUGACGUUACCCGCAGAAGAAGCACCGGCUAACUCCGUGCCAGCAGCCGCGGUAAUACGGAGGGUGCAAGCGUUAAUCGGAAUUACUGGGCGUAAAGCGCACGCAGGCGGUCUGUCAAGUCGGAUGUGAAAUCCCCGGGCUCAACCUGGGAACUGCAUUCGAAACUGGCAGGCUAGAGUCUUGUAGAGGGGGGUAGAAUUCCAGGUGUAGCGGUGAAAUGCGUAGAGAUCUGGAGGAAUACCGGUGGCGAAGGCGGCCCCCCUGGACAAAGACUGACGCUCAAGUGCGAAAGCGUGGGGAGCAAGCAGGAUUAGAUACCCGAGUAGUC
rnacentral:rRNA from 1 species